rnacentral:rRNA from 1 species
GAUGAACGCUGGCGGCGUGCCUAAUACAUGCAAGUCGAGCGAACAGACGAGGAGCUUGCUCCUCUGACGUUAGCGGCGGACGGGUGAGUAACACGUGGAUAACCUACCUAUAAGACUGGGAUAACUUCGGGAAACCGGAGCUAAUACCGGAUAAUAUAUUGAACCGCAUGGUUCAAUAGUGAAAGACGGUUUUGCUGUCACUUAUAGAUGGAUCCGCGCCGCAUUAGCUAGUUGGUAAGGUAACGGCUUACCAAGGCAACGAUGCGUAGCCGACCUGAGAUGGUGAUCGGCCACACCGGAACUGAGACACGGUCCAGACUCCUACGGGAGGCAGCAGUAGGGAAUCUUCCGCAAUGGGCGAAAGCUUGACGGAGCAACGCCGCGUGAGUGAUGAAGGUCUUCGGAUCGUAAAACUCUGUUAUUAGGGAAGAACAAAUGUGUAAGUAACUAUGCACGUCUUGACGGUACCUAAUCAGAAAGCCACGGCUAACUACGUG